UGCAACCUACCUUCAUCUGGGGGAUAGCCCGGAGAAAUCCGGAUUAACACCGCAUAAAAUCACAGUACGGCAUCGUACAAUGAUCAAAUAUUUAUAGGAUGGAGAUGGGCAUGCGUGUCAUUAGUUAGUUGGCGGGGUAACGGCCCACCAAGACCGCGAUGACUAGGGGAUCUGAGAGGAUGACCC
rnacentral:rRNA from 1 species